rnacentral:lncRNA from 1 species
UUUAUCUAACAACGGGAGUGUGUAGGGAUAUAUAUAACUAUUAGUUAUCUGUAAUUGAGAUAAUGAAGACAUGUCGUUGAAUUGUAGAGAUUAGAUCGGAUAGCCUAGAUUUGAAAUAUUUAAAUAGCCCAAAAUCCUACUUAUCCAAAACAUUCAGCCUCCACCCCAUUCAAAACAUCCUGAUCUCCCUUCCUGCCCCCACCUCUCAUUUUUUUUAAUUGAUUUGCGACCCGCUACUUCUAUAAUAUUGACGUCGAUAUUUCCACCGUCGAUGGGCGAGCAUAUUUUUGGUGAGUUCACUCUCGGUUUCAUGGUUGCAGUUUGAAGCUAUCAUUCAUCUCGGAUGGCGGAUUCAUUGUAAUGAUAGCUAAAUCUGCUUUUCAUUCGUCGGUGGAGGUGAGUUCUGUUCGUUUGUGGAGAUCUAUGCGUCGAUGUAUCUGCUUUUUGGUGGAGAUCUAGCCGUCAUUAGAGAUCUAGGCGUCGGUGGAUUUUCUUUUCAGUGGAGAUCUAGUUGUCGGUGGAUCUAGGCGCUGAAUCUAAUCUUCGUUCGUCGGAGGAGGUGAGUUUCGUUGGUCGGUGAAGAGAUGAGUUUCAUUCUUCAGUAGAAAUCUAGGCAUCGGUGGAGAUCUUGGCAUUCGAAGACGGCCAUGAUCAGCGAUCUAUCUUCCUCCCUAAAUUUUGGUCCUAUGUAAUUGACUAUUAAUCGACUCUUUCAUUCUUUUUUUUUACCGUUCGUCGUCCGCAAUGAUCGGUGGCCAAACUUGUUCAAAUUUAAUAUGAUAUAUUUUGGGACUUAGAUAGGAUUAUGUUAUGAGUUAAUGUUUGAUGGUUAGGUCUAAUUGAAAUCGAUUUAAUUUAAGUAUUGUUCUGAAGUGGUUAUGUGAUAAUGAUUUUUACUCGAUUAAGUUAUUAAGAUGAAAUGUCAACUCUAAUGUUAACAGUAUCUUGAAUGAAUGAAAUAUUAAAUGAGUUAUGGUUAUGUUAAUCGGAUAUUUCGCAUUCAAAUCCACUUCUACAAAUUAAUAUUCUAAAUGAGACAAGAGAUAAUGAAUUGUAACAUGAUUAACUAUACACAAAUAUAACCUCAAUUGACAUAUUAAAAGAAUAUGAAACGAAAAAUCAUGUUACAUGAACUAUAUUUAAAGUUGAUCGACGGAUAUGACCAAUUCAAGUUUACUUAAUCUUAUUUGCUUAUAGGCUUAAGGGGGAGAGCAUCUGGCAAUGUACGACUGCUCCUUAUCAAUCCUGGACUAGGUGUCGGUUGCAGAAGAUAAGAGAUAUAGUGGUUCAGCACGUCUCUAGCGAUGAGGAUGCUACACCUUUAUGGGAUAGGAAUUACAUGGAUUGCUACUCUGUCUCUCUCGUUUGGAGCUCCAUUCAUACAUCGGGAUAUGUGGUGCCUUGGUUCUCUUUGGUUUGGCAGGCCCCUGCUAUACCUAAGUACUCUUUUGCUAAUUGGUUAGCUGUCUAGCGAAAGUUGGUCACAAAUUUAGAUAUAGCUACUUGGGGGUUGAGUCUGGACUCCUGUUAUCUUUGUAAUACAGGGACUUAUUGCAUUGAUCAUAUUAUGCAUUCUUGUGAUUGAAAGUUAUUGUUUUGGUAUAUUGACCAACUUGCCACGGUGAUGACUGGGAGGAUGAUAUUAUGUUGAAUGGUCGGAAGUUUUUUAGUGAUAAUGGCAAUGCUUGGGGGCUGACCGCUUAUUUUGGAGGUCCAUUGUUAGUCCUCUUUGGUAUGAGAGAUGUAGAAAGCGAGCUCGUGAGCAUCAUAGUUUAUCAAGAGAUAGAUGUCUUCAUAUGCAAGGAGAUAGUGUAUAGAUUACGUUAGUUUUUUGUUUUCCGUCAUUUUUCUUGUGGAACUUUGUAGAGUUUCAUUGGUGGGUUUGCAUCCUACAUUCCAGCAAUUUGAUGUAUAAAAAUAAUAUUAAUAAAAAAGAUAUUGACUCACAACGCUAUUAACUUACGAAAAUGUAACUUCAAUUUACUCUAUUAAAAGAAUCUUGAAUGAAGGAUCAUGUAAUUAUAUGAGCUUAAUUAUAU